CUUCUUCGGCCCGAGCCGGGCCCGCGGGAGCCCCAGGAUGGCUACUAGCCCGCCCACAAAGGAGGCCGCGGCAGCCACCCAGAAGGAUGGCGCGUUCCCUCCGCCGAAGAGCUGGUCCCAUGGCCCGCUGCCCAGCGACACGAUGAUCUGCAGGUACCACACGGUCACUUCCAGUUAACUUUCUGUUUCCCCUAGGAAAACAUAUGCUUCUACUUUUGUGUUUCACCUAAAAAAACCAUAUGCUUAUACUUCUCUACUCAAGUUUUCAGGUUCAACUCUGCUAAUUACUGCAGACCAAAAGUCUCAGGUAAAUAAGGCACGGAGUGGUCAUGAUACGUUAGAAUGUUCGAAUGUUUUAUCUGAGAACUGUGGUCAUAACUAAGUUGAUCAUGUAUAGAGCGUUUGGCUUAGUUUUUUAGAUCUCCAGUUUUUAUGUUAUUCAGCCAAUGGUUGGAUCACAACGGAGAUUAGUUACCACAAUAAGAAAUUCACGGCGUACACACUAACAUCUCUACUAUUAAAGUGGUAAUGGUGAACAGAUAACAAAGUUUUUUGUUCACUUAUUUCUCACUGAAAAAUAAUGCUUUGGUCUUUCCUGUUAAUUAUUUGGUCGACAUGCACUUUUUUUCCGGUGCUUAGCUCUUCUUGUAUGCUUUAAUAGUUUGUACAAAUACUAAAUUCCAUAUAUUGGAAGUUAUGUACAGUCUCGAUACACUAUUUGCAGGUCUAACAUCUGGGAGUUCGAACAAGUUGGAUGAAUUUCUCCAUUCCAGUUUCUCUAUGUUGACCCAAUGCCAAAGUAACCAGUAAAUAACUUACGGCGACAGUACAAUACAUAUAUGUACAGAUCAGAAGAGACGAAUCGGCUUCCACCGGAUCCUUAGCUGGCGUAGCCUCAACUGCUUGCUCAGGACGGUUUCUUAGGAUGACGUGGAGCCUCCCGCGGCAGUAGUCCCCUGAUCUCCC